UGAGGAACAUGACUUUCGGCGGGGGAUAGCCGGCCCAACAGCCGGGUAAUACCGCGUACGACCUUUUGGGGACAUCCCCGAUUGGUGAAAGCAGCAAUGCGCCGAAAGAGUGCCUCGCGGCCUAUCAGCUAGUUGGUGGGGUAAUGGCCCACCAAGGCGACGACGGGUAGCCGGCCUGAGAGGGUGACCGGCCACACUGGGACUGAGACACGGCCCAGACUCCUACGGGAGGCAG
rnacentral:rRNA from 1 species